AUCAUAUAUCAAGAGAGGAGAAUUUGUUUUCUACCUCGUUUUGACUGUGUCGGAUCGUGGGCAGCACGCAGUUUUAUGCUUUCUUGCGUUGCGUUUUCUUUGAGCAAAUGCACGAGUGGUGCGAUUGCACGCGUGCGCUUAACCAGUCCUCCUCCUCCUACGAGUUUUUAUCGAACACUGCAUGGGAAAACGAAACUCGAUGGAUGCCGGUUUGUGGAAAAUCCCGGUACCAAAAAAAUCUUUCGCACGUUGAACGGCGCUGUGACGUCGGUGCGUUAGAAACGGAGAUUUGAAACGGUUUCUUUUCGAUCGAUUCUGUUUUCUUUGGCGUGGAUGUUGUUCGAGUGGAAAAACCGUGGGACGGAGUUGGCGUUGGCCGUUGAAACGCGGCGUCGGCAAAUGUAAAUCUCGUGGCGUUGAUUUGCACAAAAAAAAAGAAAAACGCUUCUGGGAGGAAAGUUCUUUGCGUCGUAGCCUUCCGUCAGUCUAAGACCCUCGCGUCCCCGAUGAAUACUGGAGCCAUCCAGUAGGGGAAUGCCGUUGGAUUGCGCGCUUUCUUUUUUGUCGAAUCGAAAGCGAUGCAAAGCGUGUGUACAACAACUGUUAGUUCGCCAUCCUUUUGUGUUUUUGACAUGUGGUAAGGAGGCGAAGUUUUUGUUGGAAAGCGCACAAAAUAAAUUG
rnacentral:misc_RNA from 1 species